GAAAUGCGAUAAGUAAUGUGAAUUGCAGAAUUCAGUGAAUCAUCGAAUCUUUGAACGCACAUUGCGCCCGCCAGUAUUCUGGCGGGCAUGCCUGUUCGAGCGUCAUUUCGACCAUCAAGCCCCCGGCUAGUGUUGGGGACCUGCGGCUGCCCGCAGGCCCUGAAAACCAGUGGCGGGCUCGCUGUCACACCGAGCGUAGUAGCAACACCUCGCUCAGGGCGUGCUGCGGGUUCCGGCCGUUAAAAGCCUUUCACACCCAAGGUGGACCUCGGACCAGGUAGGAAGACCCGCUGAACUUAA
rnacentral:misc_RNA from 1 species